rnacentral:rRNA from 1 species
CCUACGGAGGGCUGCAGUGGGGAAUAUUGCACAAUGGGCGCAAGCCUGAUGCAGCGACGCCGCGUGAGCGAUGAAGGCCUUCGGGUCGUAAAGCUCUGUCCUAAGGGAAGAAUAAUGACGGUACCUUAGGAGGAAGACCCGGCUAACUACGUGCCAGCAGCCGCGGUAAUACGUAGGGGGCGAGCGUUAUCCGGAAUCACUGGGCGUAAAGGAGGCGUAGGCGGCACUGUAAGUCAGGAGUUAAAUCCCUCGGCUCAACCGAGGUCAGCAUUUGAAACUGUAGGGCGUGAGUGCUGGAGAGGAGAGCGAAAUUCCUAGUGUAGCGGUGAAAUGCGUAGAUAUUAGGAUGAACACCAGUGGCGAAGGCGGCUAUCUGGACUGCAACUGACGCUGAGGAACGAAAGCGUGGGGAGCUAACAGGAUUAGAUGCCCGGUUAGUC